rnacentral:pre_miRNA from 11 species
GGCUGUGCUGGGUAGAAAGGGCAGGGGGAGGUAAGCCCUCUUCCCCCUUCACCUCCCUCCCAGCAUUGCU